AAGGGGCUUCGGCCCUGAGUAGAGUGGCGAACGGGUGAGUAACACGUGGGUGAUCUACCUUUGAGUGGGGGAUAACGUUCCGAAAGGAGCGCUAAUACCGCAUGACGUUCUGGGUUUGAAGACCUGGAAACCAAAGUCGGGGACCGCAAGGCCUGACGCUUGGAGAGGAGCCCGCGCCUGAUUAGCUAGUUGGUGAGGUAAUGGCUCACCAAGGCGACGAUCAGUAGCCGGCCUGAGAGGGCGGACAGCCACACUGGGACUGAGACACGGCCCAGACUCCUACGGGAGGCAGCAGUGGGGAAUUGUUCGCAAUGGGCGCAAGCCUGACGACGCAACGCCGCGUGGAGGAUGAAGGUCUUCGGA
rnacentral:rRNA from 1 species